rnacentral:rRNA from 1 species
GACGAACCGUGCAAACGUUGUUCGGAAUCACUGGGCUUAAAGGGCGCGUAGGCGGGCCAGCCAGUCUGUGGUGAAAGCCUCCAGCUUAACUGGAGAAGUGCCGUGGAUACAGCUGGCCUCGAGGAGGGUAGGGGCAUCUGGAACGGUCGGUGGAGCGGUGAAAUGCGUUGAUAUCGACCGGAACUCCGGUGGCGAAGGCGAGGUGCUGGGCCCUUUCUGACGCUGAGUGCGCGAAAGCCAGGGGAGCAAACGGG